GAGAGAACAUCUCAUCCACAGCGCGGGAGGGAAGGGAAUGAGACAAUCGCAUGCAGGGUUACACUCGUGCGUGCUUUCAUAAAGUAAACGUUGCAUCUCUUCUCACGUCCAUGCAUGAACACUGUAAGCAUGCUUUUCAAGGGAGGAAUUCCCCAUCUUGGAAAUUAAACUGCCUGUUCCGUUCUCUUGAUGGCUAAGACGCAACAUUCGAUGGCUGAAUACGAGUACUGACUGCGAGUUCUGAAUGGAAACCGCAUCGCUGAAGAGAUGUAGGCAACUGGAGAGUUUGGCUUUUGACUAGAUGCUUCCGCGCUGCCCAGAGAUUUUAGCGUCAUGUUCUUCAACGCAAGACGCACGGGAACCUCUAUUCGUCCCCGACACACGGCCACUCGUAGCUUACUUUCUGACAGAGAGGAAUAUGCACGUCAAUUGUUAAAAGUCAACUUUAUGAGAUGUUCCACAUCAAAAAAAAAAAAAAAAAAAUUUGACAGGAGGUAGUUGCUAUCUUUGGUUAUCUAGCUGUAUGAGUGUUUAUCUUCCUUCAUAAAGCUAGAUAACCGAAAGUAGAAACGUCCUCCUUAACUGCAUAGUGGACAAGUUGGGAAGCAAUGAUCGCAGGGAACUGCAUGAGCCUCUCAAACUGCUGUGUCUUUGUGAGAGACCAGAGGAAUGGAGCUAAGGGGGAAAACGCCAUCUGCAACUGCCAGCCAUUUACACUGCCUUUUUGGAGCAAGAGGGAGAGAGGAAAAAAUGGUGCAAUUGUCCAAAUGAAAGAAAAGAAAAAUAAUAGUCAACCCUCAUCCUUCUUCUACCAGCUCCCCUCCCUUCUUCGUCAACGGAAGCAUUUAGUGCCAUCUGUGCCCCCGGAGAAAAGAGGAAAAAAGGAAAGGAGUGAGACUCUACAUCCCAAGUGCCAAUGGGGACAAAGAGGCUGCCAGUUGCCACGGACCACCAGAUGCAGGAAGACUGCAAGUCUGAAUGAGGGGUGUGCUUUCAGGAAGCCAUCUUGAUGGAGAAACUGGCUGCUGCUCCCUAAAAUGGCUGUGUUGGCAUGAGGCUCCUGGCGAUGAAACUCUGAAAAAUUCCCAUCAUUGUCAUCAGCUGCUGGAGAAACCGUGGCCAUGCUGCUAUGUUUGACUCAAAUGGUCAAUCACAUCACCUCAGGAAUCCAGCGUCCAGCAUUUCUUCCACAAGAUUCUCCGCUAAAAAAAAACAAACAAACAAAUGACUUCGAAUGUGCACUAAUUGUCUUAAAACCUUGCAGACAAUCAGUAAUACUGGAUGGGUGUGUGGAUUUGGGCUGUUCGCCCAGUUAAAUCUUAGAUGUUAGAAAAUGUGUUGUACAAUCUUAUCAGUGCUGUGUAAACUGAAGAGCAUAAUGUGCCUUAAUGUGUGAAAAGUUUACAAUGAAAGUAGUUGUUAUUGAAACAUGUCAGUGCAAUCCCGAUUUUAAAUACUAGUAUUUUCAAUGACCUUUCAUGUUAGUCAUCCAUGUUUCAUGUUAUUAUAUUAUAAAAUGUGCCUGUUUCAGUUGAUUUACAGGAAAUUGGUUAAUCCAGAUAUUUUGUAUGGCUACUGUAUGUAUGGUUUAAUACAAGAAUUAUGCUCAGUUUCUCUCUGGAUUAUCAUUUGUCUGAUUAUGUGAUAUGUGAAACAAAUUUAUUAAGCUGCACAAAUAAACAACAUUAAAGCACUGAGUAAAUGAU